rnacentral:rRNA from 1 species
GACGAACGCUGGCGGCGUGCUUAACACAUGCAAGUCGAACGGAGAGACAUGGAAGCUUGCUUCUAUGAAUCUUAGUGGCGAACGGGUGAGUAACGCGUAAUCAACCUGCCCUUCAGAGGGGGAUAACAACGGGAAACCGUUGCUAAUACCGCAUACGAUAUGCUUUCGGCAUCGAGAGCAUAUGAAAGGUGGCCUCUAUAUAUAAGCUAUCACUGAAGGAGGGGAUUGCGUCUGAUUAGCUAGUUGGAGGGGUAACGGCCCACCAAGGCGAUGAUCAGUAGCCGGUCUGAGAGGAUGAACGGCCACAUUGGGACUGAGACACGGCCCAAA